rnacentral:rRNA from 1 species
GACGAACGCUGGCGGCGUGCUUAACACAUGCAAGUCGAACGGAAAGGCCCUGCUUUUGUGGGGUGCUCGAGUGGCGAAGGGGUGAGUAACACGUGAGUAACCUGCCCUUGACUUUGGGAUAACUUCAGGAAACUGGGGCUCAUACCGGAUAGGAGCUCCUGCUGCAUGGUGGGGGUUGGAAAGUUUCGGCGGUUGGGGAUGGACUGGCGGCUUAUCAGCUUGUUGGUGGGGUAGUGGAUUACCAAGGCUUUGACGGGUAGCCGGCAUGAGAGGGUGACCGGCCACAUGGGGACUGAGAUACGGACCAGACGCCUACGGGAGGCAGCAGUGGGGAAUAUUGCACAAUGGGCGGAAGCCUGAUGCAGCAGCGCCGCGUGCGGGAUGACGGCCUUCGGGUUGUAAACCGAUGUCGCCUGUGACGAAGCGUGAGUGACGGUAAUGGGUAAAGAAGCACCGGCUAACUACGUG